AACUAGGACUACCCCAACAGUGUGUACUCAGCUUUUUGUUAUCAAAAGCAUUACAGAAUUCUAGAAGAUUCUGCAAAAAUGUUCCUUUCCCCCUGCAAGGCCAGAGGGGAAUAACUGUUGGUGGCCUACCAGAGGGACUGCCGUGGCUGUUGCUAAAAGGACAAUGCUAUGCAAGGUUUCAUAAAGAGUUCGUAACUUUCGUGAAGAAACUGAAGCCUUUGGAGUGGGUAUGGAAGGUUCCACUUCAACCAAAGGCAACACCGCAGCUUCAGCAAAGGCUAGUGCUUCCUCACUAGAUUGGACUGUUGCCUUCUUGAAUGGUGGUCUAUGUUCUUUUCUAAAAGACGUCAUUUUCACUGGCUGCUGCUGAGGAACUGUAAUCACCUGAGACAUAAAAAGGUGCCCAAUGAUAAAGUCAACCAAAGACACAAACCUGGAAUCGACCCUGCUGAAAUGAUCCACGCAUCGUUUUACAUCUACUCAAAGCCCUAGUGUCAGCUGAGAACUCCUGUGUCAGUGGAAUGGAAUCAGGAACAAUUGUUGAUCGUUUAUCUUCUGUUUCCACUCACUGUUCCUUCCUGAGCCUCCAAGGCUUCUACAUGAAAUCUAAUCCAGCCAUACACACACUGACCUGAAGAACGCCGCAGUGUGUGGACCAGGAGCAGGUGGUAAAGUCGGAGUUGGCUGCUGAGGAAAUACAAUCCCCACAUGCUUGCACUGGGACUCCCUGCGAUCCUCCAAGAAUCCAGCAGGCUUCUUUUCCCUUAUCU